rnacentral:rRNA from 1 species
GCAGCCGCGGUAAUACGUAUGGUGCAAGCGUUAUCCGGAUUUACUGGGUGUAAAGGGAGCGUAGACGGCUUAGUAAGUCUGAAGUGAAAGCCCGGGGCUCAACCCCGGGACUGCUUUGGAAACUAUUGAGCUAGAGUGUCGGAGAGGUAAGCGGAAUUCCUAGUGUAGCGGUGAAAUGCGUAGAUAUUAGGAGGAACACCAGUGGCGAAGGCGGCUUACUGGACGAUAACUGACGUUGAGGCUCGAAAGCGUGGGGAGCAAACAGGAUUAGAUACCCC